CGAGUAGGCUAGAUGAUCGCUCCUAUCCUAGUGGUAGAGAGAGGAAAGUCCGGACUCCAAAAGCAAGGGUGCCCCGUAACGCGGGGUCAGAGUAAUCUGAAGGAAAGUGGCACAGAAAUUAUACGGCCGAAUCUAACCCUAAAGGUUAGAUGGUAAAGGUGAAACUGGGAGGUAAGAGCUCCCACACGACAGCUAGGUAACUAGCGGUGCGCUAAACCCCACCCGGAGCAAGAUCAAAUAGGGAAAGAGUUAGCUUUUCUCGUUAUUAUCCCGAGUAGAUCGCAAAGAUUUCUGCAGUAAUGUAGAAACAAGACAGAUGAUCAUCUCCGCCUCAGGCGGAACAAAAUCCGGCUUAUCGGCCUGCUCACCCU
rnacentral:RNase_P_RNA from 1 species